rnacentral:rRNA from 1 species
GAUGAACGCUGGCGGCGUGCCUAAUACAUGCAAGUCGAGCGAACGGACGAGAAGCUUGCUUCUCUGAUGUUAGCGGCGGACGGGUGAGUAACACGUGGAUAACCUACCUAUAAGACUGGGAUAACUUCGGGAAACCGGAGCUAAUACCGGAUAAUAUUUUGAACCGCAUGGUUCAAAAGUGAAAGACGGUUUUGCUGUCACUUAUAGAUGGAUCCGCGCCGCAUUAGCUAGUUGGUAAGGUAACGGCUUACCAAGGCAACGAUGCAUAGCCGACCUGAGAGGGUGAUCGGCCACACUGGAACUGAGACACGGUCCAGACUCCUACGGGAGGCAGCAGUAGGGAAUCUUCCGCAAUGGGCGAAAGCCUGACGGAGCAACGCCGCGUGAGUGAUGAAGGUCUUCGGAUCGUAAAACUCUGUUAUUAGGGAAGAACAAAUGUGUAAGUAACUAUGCACGUCUUGACGGUACCUAAUCAGAAAGCCACGGCUAACUACGUG